rnacentral:rRNA from 1 species
GACGAACGCUGGCGGCGUGCUUAACACAUGCAAGUCGAACGGAAAGGCCUGCUUUCCCUUGUGGAUUGCGGGUACUCGAGUGGCGAACGGGUGAGUAACACGUGAGUGAUCUGCCCCCAACUUGGGUAUAAGCCUGGGAAACUGGGUCUAAUUCCCGAUAGGACUGCAGGGUGGUGCCUGUGGUGGAAAACGAUUUUCUAGUGGUUGGGGAUGAGCUCGCGGCCUAUCAGCUUGUUGGUGGGGUAAUGGCCUACCAAGGCGGCGACGGGUAGCCGGCCUGGGAGAGGGGACGGGAACAUUGGGACUGAGAUACGGCCCAGACGCCUACGGGAGGCAGCAGUGGGGAAUAUUGCGCAAUGGGCGGAAGCCUGAUGCAGCGACGCCGCGUGGGGGAUGACGGCCUUCGGGUGGUAAACUCCUUUCGACCGCGAGGAAGCCACCUGGUUGGAAGGGUGGUGACGGUAGUGGUAGAAGAAGCACCGGCUAACUACGUG